GACAAGUAAUCACUCAUGUUGCACACUGUGGGGCGCUGUUGAACCCCACAGUCGGCACACUCCCCUGUCUCCCCCCCUCUCACCCCCCUACACCACAGCUGUUGUGCAAACUGUGUCCCGACUUCUCCUUUUCUCCUCACCUAACCCCCCUCUUCCAAAAUUGCUGACCUAUGCAAACGGUAUAAUUUCUUUGGUGUCACAAGAUGUAUUGCCAAUCGUACAGGGCAUGGGCGUUUCUAGGUUUCGGAAAUAACCGGUGCUUAGCCCAGAUGGAAAGGUGAAAUUAAUUCAUUUAUCAAUUGAUUAAUUAAUUCAUAUUUAUGUAUUGCUUUCCAUAAAUAUACAAAAUACACCGUUUAUUAGAGCUUUAAAUAGUUUCCUGACUGCUGUGCUGCUCAUCCCCAGAUAAACUGGUUAUGUUUUUAAAUCGUUCAUUCUCUUGCCAGAAGGACUACCUAGAAGGACUAGGCUACUUUGAGAUGCCCCUGGAGUCCCAAUGUUUGUUUCUAGUGUAAAGCAAGCAAAAGAAAAAAAAGAAAAAGGAAGUUUUUUUUUUUUUUUAAUACGAUUCUGGGCUAAUUAAAUAAUAUCUGGGGCUUUAGCCCCGAAUGAAACCGCCUAGUGACGCCACUGGUACAGGAACACCCCACCACGCAUGCUAGUAUUAACCCGUGAUGCUACGACUACACAUCGCUUCAAAUCACAAUCAUCCUAUCACCGUUUAGUUGUAUUUGGACAUUGUCCUCCUUCCCUUUAAGUACUCCUUAAAGAAUGGAUCCUCCUCCUCGUGUUUUCUUUACCCCAGUUCCCCAAGCAUUCCUUUGGAGAAUGUUUUGUUAAAAUGCUUAUAUGUGAUUUCCUUGCAGUGCUUUGUCCGACGUGAAGCAAAGAGAGAGUGCCUACAUUUUCUGGAGAAGCUUCUAGCAGCGAGUGGGGUACCAUGUUCACCAUGGUAACCAAGAUGAAGAGGACUCGUCAUGUGUUUUCAGAUUUCAGAUUUCAGAUCCUUUAUUUAUUCCUCCAAACGUACAUUUUCGUGUUUUUAUUUACGCCUCAUUUCUUUUACGUCGAUUACGGUAAUUUGACGGCAUCAAUGUUUUAACAGACAUCCCGUUUUCAUCUGUUAGUAUUGUUUGAUUGUUUAGGUUUAGUUCAUUUUGCAUAUUCUCUAGUAUUUGGAUAUUGGAGAGGUAUUUCGUGAGGGACUAUUUCCCAACUCUAGAUGCACCCUUUCCCCAACCCUGUAUCGAUUAUUAUCGACGACCUAUUUGCACUCGGUACAGGCGUCCAUGGCUCUCCGCCUUGCUGUACCCUGUUCUCCAACCACAGAGGGUGUGGGAAAACUAAAACCCUGAUAUGCAAUUCAGUACUGUUACUGUAGACAGAAUCUUCACUGUUUAGUUAAGUGGUCGGACAGUUGGUAUUAGCAAUGCAGACCCCCCCCCCCCAUCUGAUCUAGAGGAAGGGGUAUUGCUUAAUGCCAAGGCCACGUUCUCAGGACUGAAACACAGCACUGCCCUCUGUGACUGUUGACUCAUUAACUCCCUAUGCAGUUGGUACAGAUGAGAGACCUUUGCACUUCCUCCAACACUGAGACACAGAAUGGAUCUCUGAAUCAGAGACGAUGUAAUGAACUUCCCUUUACGCUGACACAGUGAGAACUUUGCACAGUGAAAUGCUAACUUUUGGUAACUUAGUUAUUUAGUUAACUUGGUUAUUUAUUUGAUCAAAUGGUCAAACUGCCUUGGCUGGAUAUUUUUUACAUUGCUUCUUUUAUGACCAAUAUUGAAUUGGUGGAAGGGCUAAAUGCUUGAUUUUCAAUUGAUUAUGUACAAAUUGUUCAAUAAAUAAUACAACUAAGA